rnacentral:rRNA from 1 species
AGAGUUUGAUCCUGGCUCAGGAUGAACGCUAGCGGCAGGCCUAACACAUGCAAGUCGAGGGGUAACAGAUAAAAAGCUUGCUUUUUAUGCUGACGACCGGCGCACGGGUGAGUAACGCGUAUGCAACCUACCUUUUACUGGAAGAUAGCCCCGAGAAAUCGGGAUUAAUACUCCAUAUUAUUAUUGAUAUCGCAUGAUAUUAUAAUUAAAGCUCCGGCGGUAAAAGAUGGGCAUGCGUGACAUUAGUUUGUUGGUAAGGUAACGGCUUACCAAGACUUCGAUGUCUAGGGGUUCUGAGAGGAUUGUCCCCCACACUGGUACUGAGACACGGACCAGACUCCUACGGGAGGCAGCAGUGAGGAAUAUUGGUCAAUGGUCGAAAGACUGAACCAGCCAUGCCGCGUGCAGGAUGACGGCGCUAUGCGUUGUAAACUGCUUUUCUACAGGAAGAAACCUACUUACGUGUAAGUAGCUGCCGGUACUGUAGGAAUAAGCACCGGCUAACUCCGUGCCAGCAGCCGCGGUAAUACGGAGGGUGCAAGCGUUAUCCGGAUUUAUUGGGUUUAAAGGGUACGUAGGCGGAAUAUUAAGUCAGUGGUGAAAUCCUGCGGCUCAACCGUAGAACUGCCAUUGAUACUGAUGUUCUUGAAUAUAGUUGAGGUAGGCGGAAUGUGUAAUGUAGCGGUGAAAUGCUUAGAUAUUACACAGAACACCGAUUGCGAAGGCAGCUUACUAAACUAUUAUUGACGCUGAUGUACGAAAGCGUGGGGAGCGAACAGGAUUAGAUACCCUGGUAGUCCACGCUGUAAACGAUGAUCACUCGUUGUUUGCGAUAUAUUGUAAGCGACUGAGCGAAAGCAUUAAGUGAUCCACCUGGGGAGUACGUUCGCAAGAAUGAAACUCAAAGGAAUUGACGGGGGCCCGCACAAGCGGAGGAACAUGUGGUUUAAUUCGAUGAUACGCGAGGAACCUUACCUGGGCUUAAA